rnacentral:rRNA from 1 species
CGUGAGGGAAAGGUGAAAAGAACCGUGAAUAACGGAGUGAAAGAGAUCCUGAAACCAUACGCCUACAAGCGGUCGGAGCCCUUUGGGGUGACGGCGUGCCUUUUGCAUAAUGAGCCUACGAGUUACUUUUACUGGCAAGGUUAAGCACUUCAGGUGCGCAGCCGUAGCGAAAGCGAGUCUGAACAGGGCGCCACAGUCAGUAGUAGUAGACGCGAAACCGUGCGAUCUACCCAUGGGCAGGUUGAAGCUGUGGUAACACACAGUGGAGGACCGAACCCGUUGACGUUGAAAAGUCUUGGGAUGACCUGUGGGUAGGGGUGAAAGGCCAAUCAAACUCCGUGAUAGCUGGUUCUCCCCGAAAUGCAUUUAGGUGCAGCGUUCUGAUAGUUAUAUAGAGGUAGAGCUACUGAUUGGAUGCGGGGGCUUCACCGCCUACCAAUUCCUGACAAACUCCGAAUGCUAUAUAAUGUUUCAGGGCAGUGAGGGCAUGGGUGCUAAGGUCCAUGUCCGAGAGGGAAAGAACCCGGACCAUCAGCUAAGGUCCCCAAGUGUGUGCUAAGUUGACAAAACGCGGUGGAACUGCAUAGACAGCCAGGAUGUUGGCUUGGAAGCAGCCAUUCAUUUAAAGAGUGCGUAACAGCUCACUGGUCGAGCGGUUCCGCAUGGAUAAUGAUCGGGCAUAAGCACACCACCGAAGCUAUGGCUUUACAGUUUACUGUAAGGGGUAGGGGAGCAUUCCAUUCUGCGUUGAAGCGGGCCUGCGAGGUCCCGUGGAGCGUAUGGAAACGAAAAUGUAGGCAUAAGUAACGAUAAUGUGGGCGAGAAACCCACACGCCGAAAGACCAAGGUUUCCCCGGCUAUGCUAAUCAGCCGGGGGUCAGUCGGGACCUAACACGAACCCGAAAGGGGCAGUGGAUGGACAAGCGGUUAAUAUUCCGCUACCCGCAAUACGAUAAAAGUGACGGGGCACCGGAGUUGGUGCGCACAGACGGAAUUGUGCGUUGAACCUUCGGGGAUAGUACACCAAGGCCACGGCCGCGGUGAUAAUCCAGCGUAGGUGCCUCCAAGAAAAGCGAGUAUUGCGGCCCGUACCGUAAACCGACACAGGUGGUCGGGAUGAGUAUUCUAAGGCGCUCGAGAGAUUCAUGGUUAAGGAACUAGGCAAAAUAGACCCGUAACUUCGGGAGAAGGGUCGCCCCCUUUGGGGGGCCGCAGUGAAUAGGUCCAGGCGACUGUUUAUCAAAAACACAGGGCUCUGCCAAAUCGAAAGAUGAAGUAUAGGGCCUGACACCUGCCCGGUGCCGGAAGGUUAAAAGGAGGAGUGCAAGCU